UACGAAGGGGGCGAGCGUUAUUCGGAAUCACUGGGCGUAAAGCGUGCGUAGGCGGUUCGGAAAGUCAGAAGUGAAAGCCCAAGGCUCAACCUUGGAAGCGCUUUUGAAACUCCCGAACUCGGAUUUGGGAGAGGAUAGCGGAAUUGUCAGUGUAGCAGUGAAAUGCGUAGAUAUUGACAGGAACACCAGUGGCGCAAGCGGCUAUCUGGACCAACAUCGACGCUGAGGCACGAAAGCGUGGGGAUCAAACAGG
rnacentral:rRNA from 1 species